UCGAGGAUCUUCCGCAAUGGGCGCAAGCCUGACGGAGCGACGCCGCGUGUGGGAUGAAGGCCUUCGGGUUGUAAACCACUGUCACUCGUUAAGAAAGGGUCCGGCGUCAACAGCGUCGGGCACUGACGAAGGCGAGAGAGGAAGCCACGGCUAACUUCGUGCCAGCAGCCGCGGUAAGACGAAGGUGGCGAGCGUUGUUCGGAAUCACUGGGCAUAAAGCGCACGUAGGCGGUGCCGUAAGUCGGGUGUGAAAUCCCUCGGCCUAACCGAGGAACUGCGCCCGAUACUGCGGUGCUUGAGGACCAGAGGGGUGCAUGGAAUUUCCGGUUGGGCGGUGAAAUGCGUUGAUAUCGGAAGGAACUCCGGCGGCGAAAGCGAUGCACUGGCUGGUUUCUGACGCUGAGGUGCGAAAGCCAGGGGAGCAAACGGG
rnacentral:rRNA from 1 species